GAGGGGCAUCGGGAGGGAAGCUUGCUUUCCUUGCCGGCGACCGGCGCACGGGUGAGUAACACGUAUGCAACCUGCCCUCUUCAGGGGGACAACCUUCCGAAAGGGAGGCUAAUCCCGCGUAUAUCGGUUUCGGGCAUCCGAGAUCGAGGAAAGAUUCAUCGGAAGAGGAUGGGCAUGCGGCGCAUUAGCUAGACGGCGGGGUAACGGCCCACCGUGGCGACGAUGCGUAGGGGUUCUGAGAGGAAGGUCCCCCACACUGGUACUGAGACACGGACCAGACUCCUACGGGAGGCAGCAGUGAGGAAUAUUGGUCAAUGGGAGAGAUCCUGAACCAGCCAAGCCGCGUGAGGGAAGACGGCCCUAUGGGUUGUAAACCUCUUUUGUCGGAGAACAAAACCCGGGACGUGUCCCGGACUGCGUGUAUUCCGAAGAAAAAGCAUCGGCUAACUCCGUGCCAGCAGCCGCGGUAAUACGGAGGAUGCGAGCGUUAUCCGGAUUUA
rnacentral:rRNA from 1 species